AGAGCUUCCAUUUCGCCAGCGCCACCUGAGGAUUUCCUGGAGCCGCCACCCCCACCUCCCGCGAUGGAAGACGAUCAGGAGCUGGAGAGGAAAGCCAUAGAGGAAUUGCUAAAGGAGGCAAAGCGUGGGAAAACCAGAGCGGAGACAAUGGGGCCGAUGGGCUGGAUGAAGUGUCCUCUUGCUGGUACAAAUAAAAGAUUCCUAAUUAACACAAUUAAGAACACACUGCCCUCCCAUAAAGAGCAAGACCAUGAACAAAAAGAGGGCAGUAAGGAGCCUGGCAAAAGCCAAGACCAGAAGGAAGCAAGUGGGAAGAAGUACCGAAGUCACUCGUACAAGCGCAGCCUUCACUCGUCCCGGGGCUCCGCAGGCUGCUCUCCUCCACGGAAGCGGACCUCCCGGACCUCCCGGGACAAGUGCGACCCACGGCCCAGCAGGCGAUGAGACAGCCGCAGGGCUAGCCCAGCCCAGCACUGCACCUGCCACUGGGCGCAGCAAAGAAGACAGGGAGGUGGCCGGCUGGCACCUGAGAGUGACUUUCUCAGUGGGUCCUUUGUUUUAAGGAGGCUGUUGGUACUGUGUGGUUGUUCUUGUUGCUGUUGUUGUUGUUGUUAACGGGAGAAGAAAACUUUACUAAAACAAAUCUUAACUACCUUAUCCUGAAGGUGUCGCGGUGAGAGCAAGCUGACUCGGCAUGGCCCCCGCAUAUCCGUGGUGUCUUUAUCCUACCUUACUUGGAAGUUCGUUUCAAAACAGGCAGUUUUAGAAUUUGAGAUUUUGAGAAAGUUUAAAAACUCCUAGUUUUUUGAUGUACUGCUCUUUUGUGGUCAUUUCCCAGAAUUUCUCAAAAAAAUCAAUAAAAUACUUAGAAACGC
rnacentral:lncRNA from 1 species